rnacentral:tRNA from 1 species
GGGUAUAGCUCAGUGGUACAGUGCGUGCUUAGCAUACACAAGGUCCUGGGUUCAAUCCCUAGUAUGUCCA